rnacentral:rRNA from 1 species
UUCCGGUUGAUCCCGCCGGACCCAACCGCUAUCGGGGUGAGGCUAAGCCAUGGAAGUCGCACGCCCCGGUUACCGAGGCGUGGCGGACGGCUGAGUAACACGUGGCUAACCUAACCUCGGGACGGGGACAACCCCGGGAAACUGGGGCUGAUCCCCGAUAGGUGAGGAGGCCUGGAAGGGUUCCUCACCUAAAGGGUGGUGUGGGGAUGUCCGCAUCACCGCCCGAGGAUGGGGCCACGGCCCAUCAGGUAGUUGGCGGGGUAACGGCCCGCCAAGCCGAUAACGGGUAGGGGCCGUGAGAGCGGGAGCCCCCAGAUGGGCCCUGAGACAAGGGCCCAGGCCCUACGGGGCGCACCAGGCGCGAAAACUCCGCAAUGCGGGCAACCGUGACGGGGUCACCCCGAGUGCCCCGAAGAGGGGCUUUUCCCCUCCGUAAGAUGGAGGGGGAAUAAGCGGGGGGCAAGUCUGGUGUCAGCCGCCGCGGUAAUACCAGC